AUACGUAGGGGGCGAGCGUUGUCCGGAAUGAUUGGGCGUAAAGGGCGCGUAGGCGGCCCGGUAAGUCUGGAGUGAAAGUCCUGUUUUUAAGAUGGGAAUUGCUUUGGAUACUGUCGGGCUUGAGUGCAGGAGAGGUAAGUGGAAUUCCCAGUGUAGCGGUGAAAUGCGUAGAGAUUGGGAGGAACACCAGUGGAGAAGGCGACUUCCUGGAUUGUAACGUACGCUGAGGCGCGAAAGCGUGGGGGGCAAACAGGAUUAGAUCCCCUGGUAGUCCAAACUGUGAACGAUGAAUGCUAGGUGUAGGGGGUAUCGGCGCCUUCUGUGCCGCAGACAACACAAUAAGCAUUCCGCCUGGGGCGUACGGCCGCAAGGUUGAAACUCAAAGUAAUUGACGGGG
rnacentral:rRNA from 1 species